AGUGAACGCUGGCGGCAGGCCUAACACAUGCAAGUCGAACGGCAGCACAGAGGAGCUUGCUCCUUGGGUGGCGAGUGGCGGACGGGUGAGGAAUACAUCGGAAUCUGCCUAUUUGUGGGGGAUAACGUAGGGAAACUUACGCUAAUACCGCAUACGACCUACGGGUGAAAGCGGAGGACCUUCGGGCUUCGCGCAGAUAGAUGAGCCGAUGUGGGAUUAGCUAGUUGGCGGGGUAAAGGCCCACCAAGGCGACGAUCCGUAGCUGGUCUGAGAGGAUGAUCAGCCACACUGGAACUGAGACACGGUCCAGACUCCUACGGGAGGCAGCAGUGGCGAAUAUUGGACAAUGGGCGCAAGCCUGAUCCAGCCAUGCCGCGUGGGUGAAGAAGGCCUUCGGGUUGUAAAGCCCUUUUGUUGGGAAAGAAAAGCAGCCGGUUAAUACCCGGUUGUUCUGACGGUACCCAAAGAAUAAGCACCGGCUAACUUCGUG
rnacentral:rRNA from 1 species